CCUACGGGUGGCAGCAGUGGGGAAUAUUGCACAAUGGGCGAAACCCUGAUGCAGCGACGCCGCGUGAGUGAAGAAGGAAUUCGGUAUGUAAAGCUCUAUCAGCAGGGAAGAAAAUGACGGUACCCGAGUAAGAAGCCCCGGCUAACUACGUGCCAGCAGCCGCGGUAAUACGCAGGGGGCAAGCGUUAUCCGGAUUUACUGGGGGUUAAGGGAGCGUAGAGGGUAGUGCAAGUCUGGAGUGAAAGGCGGGGGCUCAACCAACGGACUGCACUUGAAACUGUACGUCGUGAGGGCAGGAGAGGUAAGUGGAAUUCCUAGUGGAGCGGUGAAAUGCGUAGAUAUUAGGAGGAACACCAGUGGCGAAGGCGACUUACUGGACUGUAACUGACGUUGAGGCUCGAAAGCGUGGGGAGCGAACAGGAUUAGAUACCCGAGUAGUC
rnacentral:rRNA from 1 species